GUUUAAGAUUUGACCCUCUUGUUGUUACUUCUUCUUCUUUUUACUCAUCAUCAUCAUAUUUGACUUAUGUUGAAGUCCUUUAAUGGGGUUUUCAUUGUCGUUGAUAUUGAUUUUGUUGUUGGUGGUGGUGGUGGUGGUGAUGUUACAAUGUGAGGCUGUGAUGAUUGAGGUGUGUAGAGUUCAUGGGUGACGGAACUAUGCCCGUAGCUUUGUGGGGAAACCUGAAAGGCCUCAUUGAAAGGAAUCAAGUAUCUUGAGGAAAUCAACGAAACGAAAUGAGAAGAAAGCAGCUAGUGACAUGAGGUAAUAUAAGGGAAAGAGUUAUGUCUCUGGUGAUUAGUUGACAUUACAAAAUUAAGGUAGCAGUGUGUUUAUGAUGUUGGCAAUUCUUCUUAAAUGCAAAAGAGCAUUAGGUUGUGUGUAUAGUUUUGUUGUAUUUAGUUUAGUCCUUGAGUAGCUUGCUCUGCAGUCUACUCAAAAUUUUUGGUUUAUUCCUUUGAGAGAUUUAACUUAUUUUUUUUCACGUUUGGUAAAAUCUUUCUUCUUUACCUGAUUUAUUAUUUUUUCUAACUCCGGUUCUACUAUGCUAAGGUCCUAUGAAACAAGCCUGAUUUUUGUCGCAAGCCAUGGCCAACUAUAAGCAAUAGUGCUAAAGAUUUUGUUAAGAAAUUAUUAGUGAAAGAUCUGCGUACUAGACUUACUGCUGCACAGGCCUUAUGUAAGUAAUGGUAUUCUUAUUUAGUACAACUUUUAAAGUGAUUUUUAAGUUUUACAAUGACCAAGCUUCCCACUUGUGGGAUCACACUGGGAAUGUUGUUAAAUGACCAAGCAUGAUUCAUAAAAGAAGUUGUGUAAGGUCCAAAAGAUUCAUAAACUGAAAUUUAUCAGUUCUUAGUUACCUACUUCAUUAUCAAUGGCCAGUAUUGGAUGUCCAUUAAAGCUACCAGUCCUGGCUAAGUUACUUCCACAUUCUAGAUAACUUAUCGGACAACUUUCAGAGACGACUAUUUUCAUAGUUUUAUUCACUCAAUUAGAGGUUGUUGGUGUACUCAUCACCUUUAAGAUGUUUCCUUUUCUGCUUUUCUUUAUUUUGUCUGAUUCCUCAGUGAGCCUCAUCCCAGUUACUAAGGCAAGGAGAAAGACCUAAUUUUGUUGUUUAUAUCUAUUCAUCUUGGUCCUGCUUUAACUAUUUAGCCAGACAUUUUGUGUUAUUUUCUUUUGUUAUUGUAGUUUUUGUAAUUUGUUACUGUAGCUCUCUUUUCAUAUGGUUCUAUUUCCUUUCAAUUAAAAGAUAACAGUUUUUGUAUUAUCUAUUUCACCUAAAUCGUAUCUGACUAAAGUAUUUAACAACUUAUAUUCAUCUAAAAAGAUAUUUUAGCUAAGUGAACUUCAUGUAUUUAGAUAAGGAACACUAACAACAGUAUGAGCUAUAGAACUAACUAGUGGCCUUUUGAUAAGAAACUUCGUUACCAUAUGCAUUUGAGCCAAUUAUUUGGCUUGCUUAUUUAAAAUUUCAAUCAAAAAUUUUUUAUUUUUUAUUUUUCUAAUAUUUUGAUAUGCAUUGUCAAAGAACUCUGUUGCGAUAUGUGCAUAUAGGCUAGCUUUUCUCUGCCUAUGAAGGAUCUCUUAUAAUGAAUUGCAUUCUUAUAUGUGUGCUUAUAUCGUUUUCAUAUUAACCUACAUGUUAAGCUAUUUUUCUUGUGUAUGGUAGUUAUUGUUUCUCUAUGAGGCCCAAUAUCUACUUACUUUGCCAAACAGCGAAAAGAUCAAAACAAAGUGCAUGCGAAAAUAGAAAAUAAUUUCUUACUCUGCCAAAAGAUUGUACUUUUAAUUUAUCAUGGUGAAGUUCUAUCUGAAAAGGAACUGAUGUGUCUAAUUAUUUCUCUUAUUAGUUGUGUGAAAUAUGGUAUUGGAAUGAAGCUUGAGUAUACAUUAUGUUUUCUUGCAUUCUUAUUGUGAAAUUCAUGUGUGUGCCAUCGUGUUACUUGAACAAGAUUACGUGUAAAAUGUCUGUUGAUGGUUGUUGGUGAAAAGUUUUGAAUUUGUCUGGAUGGAUAGGCUGUGACAGCCAAAUUUACAAAUUAUAAUUCCCAAAUUGAAGAUAGGCUGUGGCAUUGGGAUAUGAUUGGCGCCACUCUUAUGUCAGGAAAUUGCACGGUUGCCACAGAUGUUUAGUAUAUGAUUGGCACCACUCUUUUAUUAGGAAAUUGCUCGGUUUCCACAGAUGUUGAUAGUGUACAAUUUUGUUGACCAUUUUUGAAAUUGAUCACGGCACUUUGCUGCAACAUCAGGUAUAACUCAUUAGAUAUAUCGUGUUUUAUGCUCCAUACAUCUCUCAGACUAAUUUAGCAUAUGUAUAGUCACAAAACUUCUUCACGCCUAUUUUGGCUGGAUUCAAUUGUUAAGAUGUUGUUUUUGGCAUCAUGUAAAGCCUCCCUUUUCCCAUGCUUUAGAAAAAAGAAAAGGUACUUGCCAAGUUCACAAUUGUUGCCAUGUAUCCUGUAUUGGAAGGAUUUUCUAGUUAGAAUUGAAGAUAUUUUUUCAAUUUUGAGAGUAUUAAAUAGUGAUGUAGGUUAAAACCAUUAUUGUCAAGGGUUGGACUAUUGAACUCUCCCAGAAGUUGAUUUUUCUAUUCUUCAGGUAACUAUGUUAGGUCUUGGGUCAAUUUCUUAGUAGGUCUUUACUGAUGUGUUUGUCAGUUUAUCUACUAAUUUAUGUAUGAAAUUCCCUGCACUAUAUACACCUGCUACUGAUAUCUAGAGUACAAGAUGUAUCUCUGUGGAGUUUCCUGACAGGAAAGCCAUUAUUUCAGGGCAAGUGUCAUUUACCAGUUGGAUUUGUUUAGUGAUCUUCUUGAGAUGCCAUAAGCCUAUAUCAUAUCUUGGGUAUUUUUUUAUUUUUUUUUGACUUGCACCAGGUGUCCGAGACUCUUCGAGUCCCAACUAAUCCCGGGGGUGCACAGGCCCUCGGCAAAGAGUUUCCCGCAAGUGCACCACGGUUAAUUUAGGGUUUCACCUAGUCUGAUGGCCCUCAAAAAUUAUUUGCACCCAGUGGGAAUUGAACUUGAGACCUUGACCUCAAGGCUCAAGCCAACUACCACCAGGCCAACCCCUGAGGGUUUAUAUCAUAUCUUGGGUAUUAGCCAUCUGUUGAUUUGUUUUGGUUGAUGGUAGCAUUAUCCAGCAGCAUACUGAAAGAAGAAUACUCCUCUUGAGUGCAGGUUUCAAAGAGAAGGCAAGGAAGUAUUUGACAGAUAUGACAAAAAGAGCCUAGUUCGUUUUACUGAGAAAUUUUUCAAAAGCAGAUCCUUUGACGCUUCGACUAUUGCUGAGGUUGUUAGCACUUGAUUCAAAGGAUUUCCCAACUGCUGAAGAGGAAAAUACGGGUAAUCCCAUUUGAAAUGGUGGCCACAAGUCAAUUCGAUAUGAAGUCAACGAUCAAGACUUUUUUUUAAACAAUUAUAAUGUUUCAAUUUACACUUGGUGUUGUGGAAAUUUUUGUUAGUGAACAUCUGGAAAUGUUUUUUAUUACAUAAUACAGUACAUAUGUUUCCUUUUUGAAGUUUA